rnacentral:ncRNA from 2 species
UGCCCAUAGAGUGCAGAAGGUUUAUUGCGAACACAUCGCUAUUGGGAAUUUGGUGAAAGUCCAAAACUGUACCCGCAACUGUAAGAUAGCCCGGUGCUAUUCAAGUCAGAUACCAGCCUUCUACACCAUAUUGUU